AUAUUAGUGGUUUAGUAGAAAAAUUCUUGCCUUCCAUGCAGAAGACCUGGGUUCGAUUCCCAGCCAGUGCA
rnacentral:tRNA from 1 species